AUUGAACGCUGGCGGCAGGCCUAACACAUGCAAGUCGAGCGCAGAUGCGGACGGGUGGUUAAUGCCUAGGGAUCUGCCUGGUAGUGGGGGAUCAAGCCCGGAAACGGGCGCUAAUACCGCAUACUAUCAGAUGAGCCUAGGUGGGAUUAGCUAGUUGGUGAGGUAAAGGCCUACCAAGGCGACGAUGCGUAACUGGUCUGAGAGGAUGAUCAGUCACACGGGAACUGAGACACGGUCCAGACUCCUACGGGAGGCAGCAGUGGGGAAUAUUGGACAAUGGGCGAAAGCCUGAUCCAGCCACGCCGCGUGUGUGAAGAAGGUCUUCGGAUUGUAAAGCACUUUAAGUUGGGAGGCGUUACCAACAGAAUAAGCACCGGCUAACUUCGUGCCAGCAGCCGCGGUAAUUC
rnacentral:rRNA from 1 species